rnacentral:rRNA from 1 species
AGCAGCCGCCGCGGUAAUACGAAGGGGGCUAGCGUUGUUCGGAUUUACUGGGCGUAAAGCGCACGUAGGCGGAUAUUUAAGUCAGGGGUGAAAUCCUGGAGCUCAACUCCAGAACUGCCUUUGAUACUGGGUAUCUAGAGUCCGGAAGAGGUGAGUGGAACUCCUAGUGUAGAGGUGGAAUUCGUAGAUAUUAGGAAGAACACCAGUGGCGAAGGCGGCUCACUGGUCCGGUACUGACGCUGAGGUGCGAAAGCGUGGGGAGCAAACAGGAUUAGAUACCCGCGUAGUCCCUGUCUCUUAUAC